AAUACAUGCAAGUCGAACGAGGGUAGCAAUACCCUAGUGGCGAACGGGUGAGUAACACGUGGGAAAUCUGCCUUUAAGUCGAGGAUAACUGCUGGAAACGGCAGCUAAAACCGGAUAGGUUAUAUAUGGGCAUCCAGAUAUAAUUAAAAGUCCUUUACGGGAAUGCUUAAAGAUGAUCCUGCGUUGCAUUAGCUAGUUGGUGAGGUAGAGGCUCACCAAGGCGACGAUGCGUAGCUGUGCUGAGAGGCAAAACAGCCACACUGGGACUGAGACACGGCCCAGACUCCUACGGGAGGCAGCAGUAGGGAAUUUUCGGCAAUGGGCGAAAGCCUGACCGAGCAAUGCCGCGUGAAUGAAGAAGGUCUUCGGAUUGUAAAAUUCUGUUAUUUGUGGAAGAAAGGUAGUUGGAGGAAAUGCCGAUUACUUGACGGUACCAAAUGAGAAAGCCCCGGCUAACUAUGUGCCAGCAGCCGCGGUAAUACAUAGGGGGCGAGCGUUAUCCGGAAUUAUUGGGCGUAAAGCGUGCGUAGGUGGUCAGUUAAGUCUGGCGUGAAAUUCCCUGGCUUAACCAGGGGGGGUCGUUGGAAACCGGCUGACUUGAAUCCAGAAGGGGUAAGUGGAAUUCCAUGUGUAGCGGUAAAAUGCAUAGAGAUAUGGAGGAACACCAGUGGCGAAGGCGGCUUACUGGUCUGGAAUUGACACUGAGGCACGAAAGCGUGGGUAGCAAACAGGAUUAGAUACCCUGGUAGUCCACGCCGUAAACGAUGAGCACUAAGUGUCGGACGAAAGUUCGGUGCUGUAGUUAACGCAUUAAGUGCUCCGCCUGGGGAGUACGGUCGCAAGACUGAAACUCAAAGGAA
rnacentral:rRNA from 1 species